rnacentral:rRNA from 1 species
UACGGGGGGGGCAAGCGUUGUUCGGAAUUACUGGGCGUAAAGGGCUUGUAGGUGGCCAACUAAGUCAGACGUGAAAUCCCUCAGCUUAACUGGGGAACUGCGUGUGAUACUGGAUGGCUUGGAUUUGGGAGAGGGAUGCGGAAUUCCUGGUGUAGCGGUGAAAUGCGCAGAUAUCAGGAAGAACACCCGUGGCGAAGGCGGCUCUCUGGGACGGUACUGACGCUGAGACGCGAAAGCGUGGGGAGCAAACAGG